rnacentral:rRNA from 1 species
UACGUAGGUGUCAAGCGUUGUUCGGAUUUAUUGGGCGUAAAGGGUCCGCAGGUGGCCUGACAAGUCUGAUGUGAAAUCCCGGAGCUCAACUCCGGAACUGCAUUGGAAACUGUUGGGCUAGAGUAUCGGAGAGGAGAUUGGAAUUCCAGGUGUAGCGAUAAAAUGCGUAGAUAUCUGGAAGAACAUCGAAAGCGAAGGCAGAUCUCUGGACGAUUACUGACACUCAGGGACGAAAGCAUGGGGAGCAAACAGG